AUUGAACGCUGGCGGCAGGCCUAACACAUGCAAGUCGAACGGAGUGGCGGACGGGUGAGUAAUGUCUGGGAAACUGCCUGGUAGUGGGGGAUAACGUCCGGAAACGGGCGCUAAUACCGCAUACUAUCAGAUGAGCCUAGGUCGGAUUCGCUAGUUGGUGGGGUAAAGGCCUACCAAGGCGACGAUCCGUACAGGGUCUGCGAGGAUGAUCAGUCACAGUGGAAUUGAGACACGGUCCAGACUCCUACGGGAGGCAGCAGUGGGGAAUAUUGGACAAUGGGCGAAAGCCUGAUCCAGCCAUGCGGCGUGUGUGAAGAAGGUCUUCGGAUUGUAAAGCACUUUAAGUUAGGCGGCGUUACCAACAGAAUAAGCACCGGCUAACUUCGUGCCAGCAGCCGCGGUAAUAC
rnacentral:rRNA from 1 species